rnacentral:rRNA from 1 species
GACGAACGCUGGCGGCGUGCUUAACACAUGCAACUCGAACGGAAAGGCCCUGCUUUUGUGGGGUGCUCGAGUGGCGAACGGGUGAGUAACACGUGAGUAACCUGCCCUUGACUUUGGGAUAACUUCAGGAAACUGGGGCUAAUACCGGAUAGGAGCUCCUGCUGCAUGGUGGGGGUUGGAAAGUUUCGGCGGUUGGGGAUGGACUCGCGGCUUAUCAGCUUGUUGGUGGGGUAGUGGCUUACCAAGGCUUUGACGGGUAGCCGGCCUGGGAGGGUGACCGGCCACAUUGGGACUGAGAUACGGCCCAGACUCCUACGGGCGGCAGCAGUGGGGAAUAUUGCACAAUGGGCGGAAGCCUGAUGCAGCAACGCCGCGUGCGGGAUGACGGCCUUCGGGUUGUAAACCGCUUUCGCCUGUGACGAAGCGUGAGUGGCGGUAAUGGGUAAAGAAGCAGCGGCUAACUACGUG